CAGAGGGAAAUCCACUGUCUGAAAUCAGUUGAAGUUGAUGCUUGUUUGAAUGGGGUUUUUUUUACCUUAAAAUUGAAAAGCCAGCUGAAACUGUUGCAAAUUUGCUAAGACGUAUGAGCCAAAGUUUGACAGUGUGAGUUCGUUUUUAAAAAAGGAGACUGUAUGGUAUAGUAUGUAUUUUAUGGUUGACGUGUACAGUACUCUGAUAUGAGAAAGAAGACUAAAGUCUUUGGUGGAAUCAACAGGGGCUUGCAAAGCAAAAAGAGGGGAGAUUGAAUUGUACACAUGAAACCACUUCCCUCCUCAUCUGCUCAUCAUCUGACUCCCCUCUUCAACCUGACAUCUCCCCAUCAGAAGAGGAGUGGAGAGGAGAGCAGUACUGUUCCAGCUCCGGCUCGUCAAGGUUGAGGAGGAGAAACUGACGACAGCGCGAACUUGGUCACCAGUGAGAUGCAACUCAGGGAGGGAACGCUCUGCCGCGUGGUACGACAUCUGAUGAAAGAAGCCCUCGAAUUGGACAGCCUGGAAGACGAGCCAGCCCUCUCCCUCAGAUCCCGUGCCCCCCCACUGUCAAAGUAUGAAAGGAGACGACUUUUCCCUUAGUUGCCAGGGAUGUCUGUGUACUACGGAAAGGCGAAAAAUCCCUCCAGUAUGUCCAAUGCUAUGUUCCUCCUGAUGCUCUGCAAGACGCUGAACCCGACUAGGUGUAGCUGGAGAGCCUGGAUGUGUUGUUCCAGACUGGUCUGAAAGGGAAACUGCAGACCUUUCCUGGAAAAAUGGUAAACACUGCCAUCUGUGAUGAAGAAAGAGGAAUUCAAGACAAGGAAGGUACAGAGGAGUCCAUUCUGGCCAUGCUUGGGAUCAUCGGCACCAUUCUCAACAUGGUAGUCAUCAUCUUUGUCUACAUCUACACCACGCUGUGACUGUGAUACAAAUCAACUAUUUUGCAUUGAACAGGCCUAUUGGGCCUACUGAAUGCAGCCAUGUUGUUUGGCUGGGAGUUGAGACUGUGCCAAGAUGGCACUGUGUCGUCGAUCGACAUUCUCAACUAUCAGAGGGAUCUAAGGCUGUGUGAUUACUGCAUUAAAUGUAACAUACAGCAGCGUCAUAGAGUGGCGCUGAAACUAUGUCUAUGGGAGACUGGCCCGUUCUUAUGGGGUGUCAGUAUCAUACCUCCUCUCUGAUGCUACUUUGACCUUUUAACCUGUAAAUAUGCAUGAGGCUAGCACGAGCCACGCUCUCACGAUCCAGCACUCUUUCACUGGUGCCAAGCCGAGGAGAAAAAAGAGACUGCAAUCGGGUGUAAAAGGAUCUUAAAGCACUGCAGCAGUCUUUUGAAAAAGCCUGAUAAACAUUUUGAUAUUAAAAGGGAUGAUACAGCAUACCCAGAGAAUGGAUAGAUAAUAUUCUGGAGAAAAGGCAUGGUUAGUGCGAUCCGGGAUCCUUUGUACCUUAAACCCUAACCUUAACCUUAAUCCCUACCCUUACACUUACCUUAAUCAUAACCCUUACCUAACACUAACCUUAACACUUAACCAUUUUCAUUUCAACUUAAACAAGGUAGGGACGUCCCAAGGAUCUCAGAUUGCAAUGACCGAAAAGGCAUGUACAGUAUGAGUAAACGGAUCAUUUAGCCAAAACUGUUUUUACACGAGUACUAUCAUAUUGUAAAGAAAAAGGUUUUUACAGAAAAAUACUUUGAACUGAGUGUUUUUAGUGGGUAGGCAGUAGCAAUGUGUAAGUCAAGUUUAUGCUAUUUAUUGUCGUGUUCUGAUUUCUAUUUUCAGGAAAAAAUAUUUUGAACCAUGUUACUUUACAUAAUUUGUUUACUGUAAGUACAGUGAUAGAAAGGGAGACAACCAUUUCUGGAAAUAUCUCUAUUUUGGCAGUAGAAAAAUUAGGAGGAAAUGUUCAAUUUCUAAGAGUUCUUGUUAGUGUUGUUGAGAUGCAUUUUUUCAUGAAUAUCAAGAAAGGAAGUGAAUGAAAUGUUAAGUUUAGCUUUCUGGAGGUAGGUAGGUAUUUGCUGAAGUAGGACAUAGCAUCAAAUAUGAUCACAAACAGGCAAUCUUUACAAGACAUGAUAGAGUGUCAAAAUUUGCAUUUAAAAUGGUGAUAUGGGAAAUAAUAUUAUUACAGUGUAAUCAAUCACUUUAUUUAAAUGUAUAAAGCUUUUACUGAGCUUCUGCGCUUCGAUUGAAUAGACUACAUUUUAUGUUGUCCCCACCUUCAGGACUGUGUCAAGUAAUCGAAGGCAAACGCCUGCAUAUUCAUUGUGCUGCCUUGAGAUUAUAUGUACAGUGAAUUUAAAAGCACAAUUUAGACAUGACUAUUCACAGUAUGUACGAAUGUAUGGGCAAAUGUGUGUAAAGUGUGUAUGCUGCAGCCUACAACCUCUUGUGAAUUUAAGAAAGUGCCUAAAUUCAAGUUCAGUAUCUCAACCCCAUCAUUCAGAUCUCAAAGCAGAAGAGGACAACAUACAAGGGGAUCUAUCGGCAAGACAUACCACACAUAGGAAAGUCUAUGAAAGUGCUUCAUGGCUAUUUAACCUGCCCUGAUGGCUAUCUACAUCUCUAGAACGCUGGUAACUAAUUACAGAUAAUCCUUGCUCAAUGUAUUAUGAGACCCUCCAUCAUCUUUAUAUCUACUCUUGAUUUUCAUUAGGAGCCAUUAGAAAAGGUUCAAAAUUAGUCCCAAAGGUGGCGUGUUCCUAUUCCAUUUACACCAGAAUUAGCAGAGACUUGAAUGGGAACAGUAGUGGAGUAAGUACUGUACAUGGACAGUGUUGAGAAUGUACACCACCAUUCAAAAGUGUGGGGUCAGUUUGGGGAAAUGUCCUUAUUUUUGAAAGAAAGGCAACUUUUUUGUACAUUAAAAUAAUAUCAAAUUGAUCAGAA